rnacentral:piRNA from 1 species
UUUUAAACUGAAUUGUUUGUA